AUUGAACGCUGGCGGCAUGCCUUACACAUGCAAGUCGAACGGUAACAGGUCUUCGGAUGCUGACGAGUGGCGAACGGGUGAGUAAUACAUCGGAACGUGCCUAGUAGUGGGGGAUAACUACUCGAAAGAGUGGCUAAUACCGCAUGAGAUCUACGGAUGAAAGAAGGGGAUCGCAAGACCUUGUGCUACUAGAGCGGCCGAUGGCAGAUUAGGUAGUUGGUGGGAUAAAAGCUUACCAAGCCGACGAUCUGUAGCUGGUCUGAGAGGACGAUCAGCCACACUGGGGCUGAGACACGGCCCAGACUCCUACGGGAGGCAGCAGUGGGGAAUUUUGGACAAUGGGCGCAAGCCUGAUCCAGCAAUGCCGCGUGCAGGAUGAAGGCCUUCGGGUUGUAAACUGCUUUUGUACGGAACGAAAAGCCCUGGGUUAAUACCCUGGGGUCAUGACGGUACCGUAAGAAUAAGCACCGGCUAACUACGUGCCAGCAGCCGCGGUAA
rnacentral:rRNA from 1 species